rnacentral:lncRNA from 1 species
GGGGUCUCUUUUUAUAGAUGGAGAGCGUAACUGAUUGACAGUGAUAUCUGUAACCGCCUGGUAGUGGGCUGUUCAGGGCCACGCGGAGUUUGUUAUGGAGAGUAGUGACGUCAGGGGCCAUUCAGGGCCACGUGGAGUUUGUUACAAAGAGUGGAGUGAUGUCCGUUGUCGCAACUUGCUAGAGAGUGGUGGAGCCCGGAGAGUAG